UCAAAGAACGUCCCCUGGAAACGCAUCACUGAUCACAAAACAACAUCCGGUCGAUUAACCACUUCCUGGAAUAUUUGAAUUAUCAGAGACGAUGCUAAUUAGAAUAGAGAAUCUUUGGUAUUACCCCUGUAAUUAAGAGAUCAGAGAUUUCUAAAACUAGUGAAAAAGAGUUACAAAGUUAAUUGUGUUUCCUGCUGGCCAUUUUCGGUUGUUUUGACGGAGAGUAAUGAGUAUGACUGAGCUGUAUUUUACCGCGAUUUCAACGUUGUGUCAUUUCAACAGUAUUCUGGUCAAGGUAGCAUCAUGAAGGCAGUUUACCCUUAAAAAAAGGACCAUCAUCGUCAGAAAAGUUCCUUUAACCCUUUAGCUCCCAUAGAGGCCGUGAACGUCCGGCCACCUCUCUCCCAUAACGCCCGCCGACACCCGGAGUAUUUUCAUAGCUGAACAGAAGUCAUCAUGCAGUUUCUACAGCUUUCACUUUAGAUCACUAUUACAGACCCUCAAUACCUAUAUUUUUAUUAUAACAAUUAUUUUGGGGAGAUCCUGAACUACAGUGCAAAGUGGCUGAGCUCAAAAGUAGCCUACGGGCUCACUGCUGCUGCCCAGUAGAAAAUAUCUUUUAAAUGCAGUACAGUUCCUAAUUGUGCGUUCAUGUGGUAAUUACGUAAAUACCAAACACUGACAUCCGAAGCACACAUGAACGCCACCGGCCCUUGUAGAAAAUUUUGAUUAACGACUUUACGAGCUGAUGACGUACACAACAGCUGGCUCUACUCUCACCAUGGCAACCGCUAAGUUGAAAUACUCAAAAACCGGCAUUCAGUAUGUUCAGAUAGUCAUGGUAAAUGACUGUCAGAAAAUAUUCAGCAUUUUUACCUUUUGACUUCCUAAUUCAUUUGCUUGCUGUAGCUGAUGAACAACAGUCUAUUAUCGUUUUAUUAACAAAAAAAUGGCCAGAGUCUCACUCUGGUCCACCAUCUUUAAGUUGUAAACAACAACAAAAUAGCACAUGAACGCAACGCACUUGUAAAUACCACUUCACAACUAGAUAAUAUCUACUAGAUAAGACCACAUGAAUGCACUAUAUCUCUUCUCUUGCCUCCCUCUCCUCUCCACAAGCUCUCCCCUCAUCUAAUCUCUUCAUUUUGCUAGUCCUCAUCUCUCUUUCUUCAUUAUGUUACUGUUUAAGCUGAUAACUGUUAUCUUUUAAAAAUUAAAUAGUUAAAGAUA